rnacentral:piRNA from 1 species
UGGAAAUGGAAUGAAAUCAACAAAUGUUGCUU